rnacentral:rRNA from 1 species
GCAUAUCAAUAAGCGGAGGAAAAGAAACUAACAAGGAUUCCCCUAGUAACGGCGAGUGAAGCGGGAAGAGCUCAAAUUUGAAAUCUGGCAGUCUUCGAUUGUCCGAGUUGUAAUCUAUAGAGGCGUUUUCCGUGCCGGACCGUGUCCAAGUCUCCUGGAAAGGAGUAUCAAAGAGGGUGAUAAUCCCGUACUUAACACGACCACCGGUGCUCUGUGAUACGUCUUCUACGAGUCGAGUUGUUUGGGAAUGCAGCUCAAAAUGGGUGGUGAAUUCCAUCUAAAGCUAAAUAUUGGCGAGAGACCGAUAGCGAACAAGUACCGUGAGGGAAAGAUGAAAAGCACUUUGGAAAGAGAGUUAAACAGUACGUGAAAUUGUUGAAAGGGAAACGAUUGAAGUCAGUCGUGUUCUUUGGAUUCAGCCAGUUCUGCUGGUCUACUUCCUUUGAACGGGUCAACAUCAGUUUUGUCCGGUGGAUAAAGGCAGUAGGAAUGUAGCUUCUCCGGAAGUGUUAUAGCCUAUUGUCACAUACACUGGGUGAGACUGAGGACUGCAGCUCGCCUUUAUGGCCGACCUUCGGGUACGUUCGAGCUUAGGAUGUUGACAUAAUGGCUUUAAACGACCCGUCUUGAAACACGGACC